rnacentral:misc_RNA from 1 species
UCCCUCUCCUCCUCUUCUGCGCCUCUCGCGACCUUUGCUUCGCUCACCCCCCCCUUCUCCGCAAACGGACGCCACGACCACCACACGUAGCUGCCGUGCUCGUUCUCUUAUACUCACCUCACACCUCACACCCAAGAAAGACAAAAAAAAAAACAAUCAUGACCUUUCAGGUUGAGGUGCGCCCGUUCGGUGCGGGAAAAUUGAUUUGGCUCAAGACGGCCCGCUUGCGUGUCGGGCUCGCCAAUUUCGGUGCCACCAUCAGCUCAGUGCAGGUCUUCCACCCCCAGCGGCAGAAGUGGAUUGAGGUCAACUGCGCCUUUCCGGAGAGCGCCGCUGAGACAGAGGCGGAUACCGACUACAUGGGGGUGACGGCGGGACGCUGUGGCGGUCGCGUGGCUCACGCCACCUUCAAGCUUGACGGGGUUACUUAUCACACCGAUAAGAACAUGGCUGGCAGACACACGUGCCAUGGCGGACACAACGCCUUCAACAAGAAGCACUGGGGCUUCGCCGUCUUGGAGACAGCGACAGAAAUCGGCGUCACCUUCAACUACACCAGCCCGCACAUGGAGAACGGCUUCCCCGCUGAGCUGGUGAGCAAGGUCACCUACUCAAUUGAGCGGACGAAGCCGAACGUGCUCAAGACACACUACGACUCCUACAUCCCGGAGACGAGCCCGGCAGAUGCCACCCCGGUCAACAUCUUCAAUCACGCCUACUGGAACCUCAACGGUAUCCCAGAGCGCAACGGCAAGUGCAACGCCGUGUGGGAGCAGCCAGAGAGCGUGCGCAACCACUGGCUCCGCGUGCCAGCAAGCCGGGUGGCCGAGGCGGACCGCAUGGCCAUCCCGACUGGCGAGUUCCUGUCAGUUGAGGGCACCGGGCUCGACUUUCGGCAGGGACGCGUGAUUGGCGACUGCAUUGACGACGUGGCGCUGCUCGACCGCGACCCGUGCGGCUACGACCACCCCCUCGCCAUCGAUGGCUGGGAGAAGGGCAAGCUGAUGCUGCACGCCGAGGCGAAGAGCCCGGUCACGAACAUCUGCAUGAAGGUGUACUCGACCUUCCCGUGCAUGUGGGUGUACACGGCGAACAACAAGCCGCUGCCGGCGAGCGGCGGCCCGGGCCAGCGCUACGCGCGUUGGACAGGUAUGGGACUCGAGCCGCAGUACUUCCCGGAUGGUGCGAACCACUACCCCAAGUACCCGUCUUGUAUCAUUCGUCGUGGCAAGAGCCGCUUUACCGAGACCAUGCUCAACGAGUUUACCGUCGACUGCAGUUCCAAGAUGUAAGUUGGAAUCCAAUGGGACGACGCUUCGAUGUUCUCUCUCUCCGAGCCCACCCCACCCACACAUCCUUGUACAUCUCCUCGGCCUGUGGAAGCGCGAGCACGGACGCACACGCGCAGCGACAUCGAGACGUGCAUCGAUGCACACGCCAACAGGGCGAGGCAUAUGCGCCUGUACACGAAGAGGGAGCAGUGUCUGUUUAGCUGGUCAGCCGUCUGCGUCCGCGUUUGUGUGUGCGUGUGUGUGUGUGUGUGUGUCGGUACUGCUACGUGCUGCGUGACUGUCAUCUUCUGUCCGCCUGCAUCACUCCCACAAGGCACUGGGCUGUCUGCCUAUUCUUUUGACCAAUUCUAUUCACGUGUGCCUUUCCAUCAGAGCACCCAUCCAGGCGUGCUUCUUUUUUUUUGUUUUCUCUUCCGCUACCCGCGCGCUUGUGCCCGCGAGCAGACAACUUUGAUCGUUUCCUUUUCGCUUUUUUUUACUGUUCCCUAUUCAGUGCCACGUAGGUAAUACGCAUUCGCAUUCACACGCGUGCGAGUGAAAAGAGGAGAGUAGCCCGGAGACGCUAUCAAAAGACUUUCAAAACAGAAAACGUUCAGCAUUGUGUGUGCUUCUAUUGAUUUUUGUUCCUCCUCCUCCUUCGUCGUUUCUAGGUUCUGUGCGCCCCCCCCCUCCCCCUACGCGAAGCAUCGCGCACCUACCCGUCGCGUGCGCCAUACACCCGUUUGUGGCUGUGCCGCUUUGAAUUUGGUGUCCAUGCGCUCGUGGGUGCGCGUCUGCCGGUGAUCGUCUCUCGACGCUCCCACGCCCCACUCCACCCCUCUCUACUUUCACAGCUCUGCCUCUCGCUCUGACCCCACGCGUCGCCGCGUCCGCUUCCGCAGCCUCCAUGUCCUCCACCCCCCCCCUCCGAGUGAGCAAGUGCCGACACAUACACGUGCUUGUGUGUGUGUGUGUGUGUGUGUGUGCGCGCGCGUGCACUGGAGGAGCAGGUGGAAGGUCUCGAUGUGCGAGACCACGAAACGCAUGAGCACAACCGGAACAGGGGGCAAUGCGACUGAAGAGAAAAGGAGGCGGAGUCGAAGCGCGGCACACCGCCGAGAUCUGUCACAGAAGAGUACACCAAAAGC